AGAUCCUACAGUCGGGAAGAUCCCAACGGUUGGGAAGAACCAGGAUCCAGGUCGUUAAAAUCCCUCUGCCCCCAUUUCAAACUUUGAAUUCAUUUAUCCAUCGACCCUCUGGCUCUAAGCGAGAGCGACAACCUCCUGCCUAAAGCCUAAAAAUGAGCAUCUCUCUCUCUCUCUCACUAAAUUUUCAUUUCUUACAGUUUUUGAUCACCCUAUCAAGGCAUCAGGUAAUUUUGAUAGUGUCUUUGAUUCAAGAUCACACACCCCAUGAUCAUCAGCAGAGAAAUUAGGUUCUGUGGGGGCAUGUUUCCUCUUUGCCUACACCUCCUUCAGAGAAGAGAAGAGCAGUGGGGACUCCUAUUUCCGAUUGCAACAUCAUUAGGCAUGAGAGAGACAGAUGGAUUAAUGUGCACAGUGUGUUAAGAUGCAGUGAAUAGGCCUUGAAGGCCUUGAAGCGAUGAUGAGCUUAGACUAUACCUACCUAAAGUUAUCUUGUGCAAUCAAAGAAGGGAGGUGACUGUUAUGCAAAGUAACAGAGUCGAUAGGACCUUCAUUCUCUGUAAGGUUUUUUGCCCCAAAUCUCAAGCGCAAUGUAUGAUCAUGCUAGCAACACCCAUCGUUAAUGAAGUCCUCGAAGGUUUUAACUGCACAAUAUUUGCAUAUUGGAAAACAGGCACAGGCAAAACUUACAGUCUUCCAUGAAAGGGGGAGCUAAAGCUCAGGUUUACAUUUAAAGAACUUCUUGCAUUACCAAUCAUAUGCACAUUGUAAAACUUUUGGGUCUUUAUCUAUAUGUUGAUUUAUUUCAUUAUAUGGAGGCGAAUUACCUAUUGAGUCUGGUGUGAUUCCAAGAGCAGUUCUCGACACUUUAGACGCACAGAAGGCUAAUUACAGUACGAUAAUAACCUUCUUGGAGCUUUAUAAUAAAGAAAUAAUUGAUUUAUUAGCACCUGAGGAGUAUCCUAGAUCUCUUGAAAAUAAAACAAGGAAGUCAAUUUCUGCUAUAGAGGAUGGAAAGGGCAUCGUUGUAGUGAGAGCAGUUCCCAUUUCAUGUUUUCUAGAAUUGUGAAUGUAAAAGAAGCCUCGUUAGCAGAUGAGGAGCUUAUUAAAUGCGGAAAGCUUAAUCUUGUGGACCUGGGAGGAUCAAAAAACAUUUCCAGUCAGGUGCUCUCGAGGUAUGUUAUUUGUGUUUUGCAUUUAUUGAAUGGAAUAGAAGAACCUACAAUGGUGGUUUUUAUAUAUUUUUGCUAUUGAGGAUGGUUGUCUUUAUAUUUUAUACUAGUUGAGCUUUUUGAUUUCUUAAUAACGUCAGACAUGCUUGUAAUGAUCUUGAUAGAUAAUAUGAACUUGAGUGCAUAUGAACUUGAUUGGUAAU